UACGAAGGGGGCGAGCGUUGUUCGGAAUUACUGGGCGUAAAGCGUGCGUAGACGGUAGCGUAAGUCAGAUGUGAAAGCCCCGGGCUCAACCUGGGAAUUGCAUUUGAGACUGCUCUGCUCGGGUGCGGAAGAGGGAAGCGGAAUUUCCGGUGUAGCGGUGAAAUGCGUAGAUAUCGGAAGGAACACCAGUGGCGAAAGCGGCUUCCUGGUCCGACACCGACGUUCAGGCACGAAAGCGUGGGGAGCAAACAGG
rnacentral:rRNA from 1 species